UUGUCGAACCUGCAAAGCAGACCGCGAAUUCGUGAUUAAAUACUUUGGGGAAGCGGCGCGGGUCCGAAAGCCCCGCGCCGCCGCCCCUCCCCGCCGAUGCGCACGAAACUGCGUAUCGUGCGGACUAACGUACCCCGGCGCGGAAUGCGCCAAGGAAAACUCAACGAAGCGUCCGCCCCCCGUUGCCUCGUUCGCGGCGUGCGCGGGGGUGCCGGACGUGUCUCGAAUGUCAAAACGACUCUCGGCAACGGAUAUCUCGGCUCUCGCAUCGAUGAAGAACGUAGCGAAAUGCGAUACUUGGUGUGAAUUGCAGAAUCCCGUGAACCAUCGAGUCUUUGAACGCAAGUUGCGCCCGAAGCCACUAGGCCGAGGGCACGUCUGCCUGGGCGUCACGCAUUGCGUCGCCCCCUUCUCGCUCCAUCGGGGCGGGAUCGGGCGCGGAUAUUGGUCUCCCGUGCGCUCGCGCGCGCGGCUGGCCCAAAUGAGAUCCCUCGGCGAUGCAUGUCACGAGCAGUGGUGGUUGAAUUCUCGACUCGCUUGCUGCAGUGCUUGAUGGCAUCGUCCGCUCGGGCAUCACCAACGACCCAACGGCGCCCCUUGGCGCCUUCGAUUGCGACCCCAGGUCAGGC
rnacentral:rRNA from 1 species